CAAACAUUGUUACAAAAAAGAAAAUGUUAAUUGUAGCAGUAACAAACAAAAGCUACAGAGGAGGAACCCUCUGAAGAGGAGAAACGUCCCUAGGCACCUCUUAAGGAAAAGCCAUGCUAGUAAAAAAAUUACACUCUGGAAAUUUAAACCUGAGAAGAAAAAUUGUUAGUGGGAAACUCAACUUCCAAAGUUCAGUUCUGUUGGAGAUAUGUGUAGCAUCUAUGUCUGGGGGAGUACCUGAUCCUUUAGAGAGCAAUACAGGCUGCUUUGGAAACAUUUUUGAAAACCUAUCAACUAAAGAAUCCCAGGAAAAGAGUAACACAAUGGACUCAGAAGCAGUGGGUGUUAAUGAAAGAAUUACAGAAGAACACUUGAAAAUAGAAGGAGAUGGAACCUCAUGAUAUAUAGGACAACAUGCAAUCCCCAUCUUGCUUUAGCUGUUCCUGAGCUGGAUGAAAGUGGUCCUCAGAAGAAAUGUACUUGAGGAACAUCAUGGAGUCCAAUAUGUACCUGGACCUGAUUUAUUUUUUAUUCUAAAUGAUUUUAAUUAACCAAUUUUCUUAUAUAGUUAGUUUUGGGCCAGGGUCUUAUCUAUAUACUUCAGACUUGCCUUGAACCUCUGUGUGGACUAGGCUGGUCACAAAAUGUCAGUCCCCAAUCUCAAUCCUCCUGCCUCUGCCUCCUGAAUUCUGGGAUUACAAAUAUGUGCCACCAUGCUGGGUUAGACUUGAGUUAGGUGAUGAACACCAAGACUUUAUCCUAAUGUUAGACUGAAGUGAGACCUUGAACACCCUUUGUACUGAGUGCAAUAAUGUCUGUCUAUAAAGGAUGUGUGUUUUGUUCAGCAGGCAGGUUUCAUCUUCCAAGGAUUUUCAGUUUUACCCACAUUAUUUAUUCUUACUCAGUGUGACCUAUCCAUUCCCCAUCAAAAGCUAGAAUGUUGCUUCCUUCCCAUUGGACAUGGGGAGGCUCAUGACUGCUUUGAAUCAAUGGUAUAGUGGGAAGGAGUGAUGCUAUGUGACUCUACAAGUUUGGGUCAUAAACAAUCCAGAUUUUGCCUUAUUUUCUGGAGUAUUUGCACCUGAUACUGUGGAGCAUUGUUUGAGAAACCCAACUACCAGACAUAGCCAAAAUCUGGCAAACCAAGGUUACAUGGAUACAGGGGAUUUGGUCAACAGAACAAGCCCCAGACAGUUGAGAUCCCCUCACUGAGGCUGUGAGCAUUCUGCGAUACAUGCAAACUCCAUUCUGCCCAUUCCCAAGAUACAGGAUCCAUGAACUUCCGUAUCCGAAUCUUUGAGGUAGUAACUGGACCAAGUGUGUGACUGAUAAACCUCUGAAGAUUCAUUAGCUCUCUUCUCACAGCAAUAUGAGGAGACUUGGUAAUGAAUAAAAUAUGGGCUUCAGGGGAAGGCUUGUAACUGCAGUUUAAACUGCUUGGUGGUUGUCUGCAUAACUUUGAAAGUCUGGAGCCUGUCUAAGCUCCUGACAGCUGAUGCACGCCUGUGUACUAGUUUGCACUGAUUUAUUUGUCGUAUUUCAUUUGAUUGGCAUUGUGUUCACUUACUCCGUUAAAAAGGAAUUCAAUAAAUGUGAUUGUUUCAGUUUGUCUCCGUA